AAAAGUCAACGCUCUGCCGAAAGUCGUGGGUUUUCUCCGGGUACUCCGAUUUCCUCCCACAGGGAAAGUUGACAGGGUGGGUUAGGCACAUAGGUCAGGGGGCAGAUCAUUAAUGAGGUAUGGACUAAUAGCGGCUGCUUAAAGCGCCAUUUGUAAGCUCACAGUCUACCUCGGUCUGCUUCACGCCAGUUCCAGCUCUAAUGUAACCAGUCACUGAAAAACCCUGAUAGGGAGUGUGCUGAGUA